rfam:Drosophila grimshawi strain TSC#15287-2541.00 scaffold_15112 genomic scaffold, whole genome shotgun sequence.
CUAAAAGGAACGAUCGUUGUGAUAUGCGUUCAUUAAAUCGUUACAUAUCACAGUGAUUUUCCUUUAUAGCG